AGGACGAACGCUGGCGGCGUGCUUAACACAUGCAAGUCGAGCGGAAAGGCCCUUCGGGGUACUCGAGCGGCGAACGGGUGAGUAACACGUGAGUAAUCUGCCCUUAGCUCUGGGAUAGCUCCGGGAAAACCGGGAUUAAUACCAGAUACAACCACUUUAGACAUCUGUUGUGGUGGAAAGAAUUUUGGCUAAGGAUGAGCUCGCGGCCUAUCAGCUUGUUGGUGGGGUAAUGGCCUACCAAGGCGACGACGGGUAGCCGGCCUGAGAGGGCGACCGGCCACACUGGGACUGAGACACGGCCCAGACUCCUACGGGAGGCAGCAGUGGGGAAUAUUGCGCAAUGGGCGAAAGCCUGACGCAGCGACGCCGCGUGGGGAUGAAGGCUUCGGGUUGUAACCCUUUCAGCAGGACGAAGCGAAAGUGACGGUACCUGCAGAAGAAGCGCCGGCUAACUACGUGCCAGCAGCCGC
rnacentral:rRNA from 1 species